rnacentral:rRNA from 1 species
AGUAACGUAGCGAAAGUUACGCUAAUACCGCAUAUUCUGUGCGCAGGAAAGCAGGGGAUCGCAAGACCUUGCGCUGAUUGAGCGGCCGAUAUCAGAUUAGCUAGUUGGUGAGGUAAAGGCUCACCAAGGCGACGAUCUGUAGCGGGUCUGAGAGGAUGAUCCGCCACACUGGAACUGAGACACGGUCCAGACUCCUACGGGAGGCAGCAGUGGGGAAUUUUGGACAAUGGGGGCAACCCUGAUCCAGCCAUGCCGCGUGAGUGAAGAAGGCCUUCGGGUUGUAAAGCUCUUUCGGCCGGGAAGAAAUCGUAUCAGCUAAUACCUGGUGCGGAUGACGGUACCGGCAUAAGAAGCACCGGCUAACUACGUGCCAGCAGCCGCGGUAAUACGUAGGGUGCGAGCG